rnacentral:rRNA from 1 species
GCACCCCGGAAGGGGAGUGAAAUAGAACCUGAAACCGUGUGCUUACAAGUAGUCAGAGCCCGUUAAUGGGUGAUGGCGUGCCUUUUGUAGAAUGAACCGGCGAGUUACGAUUUGAUGCAAGGUUAAGCAGUAAAUGUGGAGCCGUAGCGAAAGCGAGUCUGAAUAGGGCGUUUAGUAUUUGGUCGUAGACCCGAAACCAGGUGAUCUACCCUUGGUCAGGUUGAAGUUCAGGUAACACUGAAUGGAGGACCGAACCGACUUACGUUGAAAAGUGAGCGGAUGAACUGAGGGUAGCGGAGAAAUUCCAAUCGAACCUGGAGAUAGCUGGUUCUCUCCGAAAUAGCUUUAGGGCUAGCCUCAAGUGAUGAUUAUUGGAGGUAGAGCACUGUUUGGACGAGGGGCCCCUCUCGGGUUACCGAAUUCAGACAAACUCCGAAUGCCAAUUAAUUUAACUUGGGAGUCAGAACAUGGGUGAUAAGGUCCAUGUUCGAAAGGGAAACAGCCCAGACCACCAGCUAAGGUCCCAAAAUAUAUGUUAAGUGGAAAAGGAUGUGGCGUUGCCCAGACAACUAGGAUGUUGGCUUAGAAGCAGCCAUCAUUUAAAGAGUGCGUAAUAGCUCACUAGUCGAGUGACACUGCGCCGAAAAUGUACCGGGGCUAAACAUAUUACCGAAGCUGUGGAUUGUCCUUUGGACAAUGGUAGGAGAGCGUUCUAAGGGCGUUGAAGCAUGAUCGUAAGGACAUGUGGAGCGCUUAGAAGUGAGAAUGCCGGUGUGAGUAGCGAAAGAUGGGUGAGAAUCCCGUCCACCGAUUGACUAAGGUUUCCAGAGGAAGGCUCGUCCGCUCUGGGUUAGUCGGGUCCUAAGCUGAGGCCGACAGGCGUAGGCGAUGGAUAACAGGUUGAUAUUCCUGUACCACCUAUAAUCGUUUUAAUCGAUGGGGGGACGCAGUAGGAUAGGCGAAGCGUGCGAUUGGAUUGCACGUCUAAGCAGUAAGGCUGAGUAUUAGGCAAAUCCGGUACUCGUUAAGGCUGAGCUGUGAUGGGGAGAAGACAUUGUGUCUUCGAGUCGUUGAUUUCACACUGCCGAGAAAAGCCUCUAGAUAGAAAAUAGGUGCCCGUACCGCAAACCGACACAGGUAGUCAAGAUGAGAAUUCUAAGGUGAGCGAGCGAACUCUCGUUAAGGAACUCGGCAAAAUGACCCCGUAACUUCGGGAGAAGGGGUGCUCUUUAGGGUUAACGCCCAGAAGAGCCGCAGUGAAUAGGCCCAAGCGACUGUUUAUCAAAAACACAGGUCUCUGCUAAACCGUAAGGUGAUGUAUAGGGGCUGACGCCUGCCCGGUGCUGGAAGGUUAAGAGGAGUGGUUAGCUUCUGCGAAGCUACGAAUCGAAGCCCCAGUAAACGGCGGCCGUAACUAUAACGGUCCUAAGGUAGCGAAAUUCCUUGUCGGGUAAGUUCCGACCCGCACGAAAGGCGUAACGAUUUGGGCACUGUCUCAACGAGAGACUCGGUGAAAUCAUAGUACCUGUGAAGAUGCAGGUUACCCGCGACAGGACGGAAAGACCCCGUGGAGCUUUACUGUAGCCUGAUAUUGAAAUUCGGCACAGCUUGUACAGGAUAGGUAGGAGCCUUUGAAACGUGAGCGCUAGCUUACGUGGAGGCGCUGGUGGGAUACUACCCUAGCUGUGUUGGCUUUCUAACCCGCACCACUUAUCGUGGUGGGAGACAGUGUCAGGCGGGCAGUUUGACUGGGGCGGUCGCCUCCUAAAAGGUAACGGAGGCGCUCAAAGGUUCCCUCAGAAUGGUUGGAAAUCAUUCAUAGAGUGUAAAGGCAUAAGGGAGCUUGACUGCGAGACCUACAAGUCGAGCAGGGUCGAAAGACGGACUUAGUGAUCCGGUGGUUCCGCAUGGAAGGGCCAUCGCUCAACGGAUAAAAGCUACCCCGGGGAUAACAGGCUUAUCUCCCCCAAGAGUUCACAUCGACGGGGAGGUUUGGCACCUCGAUGUCGGCUCAUCGCAUCCUGGGGCUGUAGUCGGUCCCAAGGGUUGGGCUGUUCGCCCAUUAAAGCGGUACGCGAGCUGGGUUCAGAACGUCGUGAGACAGUUCGGUCCCUAUCCGUCGUGGGCGUAGGAAAUUUGAGAGGAGCUGUCCUUAGUACGAGAGGACCGGGAUGGACAUACCUCUGGUGUACCAGUUGUCGUGCCAACGGCAUAGCUGGGUAGCUAUGUGUGGACGGGAUAAGUGCUGAAAGCAUCUAAGCAUGAAGCCCCCCUCAAGAUGAGAUUUCCCAACUUCGGUUAUAAGAUCCCUCAAAGAUGAUGAGG